GACGUGGACUUACUUCGGUAAUUUAGACGUUAGGAAGGGACCAGCGAGCGGCGGAUGGGUGAGUAACACGUGGGGAACCUGCCCCAUAGUCUGGGAUACCACUUGGAAACAGGUGCUAAUACCGGAUAAGAAAGCAGAUCGCAUGAUCAGCUUUUAAAAGGCGGCGUAAGCUGUCGCUAUGGGAUGGCCCCGCGGUGCAUUAGCUAGUUGGUAAGGUAAAGGCUUACCAAGGCGAUGAUGCAUAGCCGAGUUGAGAGACUGAUCGGCCACAUUGGGACUGAGACACGGCCCAAACUCCUACGGGAGGCAGCAGUAGGGAAUCUUCCACAAUGGACGCAAGUCUGAUGGAGCAACGCCGCGUGAGUGAAGAAGGUUUUCGGAUCGUAAAGCUCUGUUGUUGGUGAAGAAGGAUAGAGGUAGUAACUGGCCUUUAUUUGACGGUAAUCAACCAGAAAGUCACGGCUAACUACGUGCC
rnacentral:rRNA from 1 species